CUAGCUCAAUUUUGAAUUUUAGAGUAAAAACCGCGACGCAACCGCGCCGCGU
rnacentral:sRNA from 1 species